UUAAGCGACUAAGCGUACACGGUGGAUGCCCUGGCAGUCAGAGGCGAUGAAGGACGUGCUAAUCUGCGAAAAGCGUCGGUAAGGUGAUAUGAACCGUUACAGCCGGCGAUGUCCGAAUGGGGAAACCCAGUGCAAUUCGUUGCACUAUCGUUAACUGAAUACAUAGGUUAACGAGGCGAACCGGGGGAACUGAAACAUCUAAGUACCCCGAGGAAAAGAAAUCAACCGAGAUUCCCCCAGUAGCGGCGAGCGAACGGGGAGCAGCCCGGAGUCUGAAUCAGCUUGUGUGUUAGUGGAAGCGUCUGGAAAGUCGCAGGGUACAGGGUGAUACUCCCGUACACUAAAACACACAGGCUGUGAACUCGAAGAGUAGGGCGGGACACGUGGUAUCCUGUCUGAAUAUGGGGGGACCAUCCUCCAAGGCUAAAUACUCCUGACUGACCGAUAGUGAACCAGUACCGUGAGGGAAAGGCGAAAAGAACCCCGGCGAGGGGAGUGAAAAAGAACCUGAAACCGUGUACGUACAAGCAGUAGGAGCCCACUAGUUGGGUGACUGCGUACCUUUUGUAUAAUGGGUCAGCGACUUAUAUUCUGUAGCAAGGUUAACCGAAUAGGGGAGCCGCAGGGAAACCGAGUCUUAACUGGGCGUUAAGUUGCAGGGUAUAGACCCGAAACCCGGUGAUCUAGCCAUGGGCAGGUUGAAGGUUGGGUAACACUAACUGGAGGACCGAACCGACUAAUGUUGAAAAAUUAGCGGAUGACUUGUGGCUGGGGGUGAAAGGCCAAUCAAACCGGGAGAUAGCUGGUUCUCCCCGAAAGCUAUUUAGGUAGCGCCUCGUGAACUCAUCUUCGGGGGUAGAGCACUGUUUCGGCUAGGGGGUCAUCCCGACUUACCAACCCGAUGCAAACUACGAAUACCGAAGAAUGUUAUCACGGGAGACACACGGCGGGUGCUAACGUCCGUCGUGAAGAGGGAAACAACCCAGACCGCCAGCUAAGGUCCCAAAGUCAUGGUUAAGUGGGAAACGAUGUGGGAAGGCCCAGACAGCCAGGAUGUUGGCUUAGAAGCAGCCAUCAUUUAAAGAAAGCGUAAUAGCUCACUGGUCGAGUCGGCCUGCGCGGAAGAUGUAACGGGGCUAAACCAUGCACCGAAGCUGCGGCAGCGACGCUUAUGCGUUGUUGGGUAGGGGAGCGUUCUGUAAGCCGUUGAAGGUGGCCUGUGAGGGUUGCUGGAGGUAUCAGAAGUGCGAAUGCUGACAUAAGUAACGAUAAUGCGGGUGAAAAACCCGCACGCCGGAAGACCAAGGGUUCCUGUCCAACGUUAAUCGGGGCAGGGUGAGUCGACCCCUAAGGCGAGGCCGAAAGGCGUAGUCGAUGGGAAACAGGUUAAUAUUCCUGUACUUGGUGUUACUGCGAAGGGGGGACGGAGAAGGCUAUGUUGGCCGGGCGACGGUUGUCCCGGUUUAAGCAUGUAGGCGGAUGUUCCAGGUAAAUCCGGAACGUUAUUAACGCUGAGGUGUGAUGACGAGGCACUACGGUGCUGAAGUGACAAAUGCCCUGCUUCCAGGAAAAGCCUCUAAGCAUCAGGUAACAUCAAAUCGUACCCCAAACCGACACAGGUGGUCAGGUAGAGAAUACCAAGGCGCUUGAGAGAACUCGGGUGAAGGAACUAGGCAAAAUGGUGCCGUAACUUCGGGAGAAGGCACGCUGAUGGUAAGUGAAGUGACUUGCUCAUGGAGCUGAAAUCAGUCGAAGAUACCAGCUGGCUGCAACUGUUUAUUAAAAACACAGCACUGUGCAAACACGAAAGUGGACGUAUACGGUGUGACGCCUGCCCGGUGCCGGAAGGUUAAUUGAUGGGGUUAUCCUCGCGGAGAAGCUCUUGAUCGAAGCCCCGGUAAACGGCGGCCGUAACUAUAACGGUCCUAAGGUAGCGAAAUUCCUUGUCGGGUAAGUUCCGACCUGCACGAAUGGCGUAAUGAUGGCCAGGCUGUCUCCACCCGAGACUCAGUGAAAUUGAACUCGCUGUGAAGAUGCAGUGUACCCGCGGCAAGACGGAAAGACCCCGUGAACCUUUACUAUAGCUUGACACUGAACACUGGUCCUUGAUGUGUAGGAUAGGUGGGAGGCUUUGAAGUGUGGACGCCAGUCUGCAUGGAGCCGUCCUUGAAAUACCACCCUUUAAUGGCUGGUGUUCUAACGUGGGCCCGUGAUCCGGGUUGCGGACAGUGUCUGGUGGGUAGUUUGACUGGGGCGGUCUCCUCCUAAAGAGUAACGGAGGAGCACGAAGGUCAGCUAAUCCUGGUCGGACAUCAGGAGGUUAGUGCAAUGGCAUAAGCUGGCUUGACUGCGAGCGUGACGGCGCGAGCAGGUGCGAAAGCAGGUCAUAGUGAUCCGGUGGUUCUGAAUGGAAGGGCCAUCGCUCAACGGAUAAAAGGUACUCCGGGGAUAACAGGCUGAUACCGCCCAAGAGUUCAUAUCGACGGCGGUGUUUGGCACCUCGAUGUCGGCUCAUCACAUCCUGGGGCUGAAGUAGGUCCCAAGGGUAUGGCUGUUCGCCAUUUAAAGUGGUACGCGAGCUGGGUUUAGAACGUCGUGAGACAGUUCGGUCCCUAUCUGCCGUGGGCGCUGGAGAAUUGAGGGGGGCUGCUCCUAGUACGAGAGGACCGGAGUGGACGCAUCACUGGUGUUCGGGUUGUCAUGCCAAUGGCAUUGCCCGGUAGCUAAAUGCGGAAGAGAUAAGUGCUGAAAGCAUCUAAGCACGAAACUUGCCCCGAGAUGAGUUCUCCCUGACUCCUUGAGAGUCCUGAAGGAACGUUGAAGACGACGACGUUGAUAGGCCGGGUGUGUAAGCGCAGCGAUGCGUUGAGCUAACCGGUACUAAUGAACCGUGAGGCUUAACCUU
rnacentral:rRNA from 1 species